UACGAAGGGGGCUAGCGUUGUUCGGAAUCGAUCGUGGGCGUAAAGCGCACGUAGGCGGAAUCGUUUAAGUCAGGGGUGAAAUCCCGGGGCUCAACCUGGAACUGCCUUUGAUACUGAGGAUCUUGAGUCCGGGAGAGGUGAGUGGAACUGCGAAGUGUAGAGGUGAAAUUCGUAGAUAUUCGCAAGAACACCAAGUGGCGAAGGCGGCUCACUGGCCCGGAACUGACGCUGAGGUGG
rnacentral:rRNA from 1 species